UACGUAGGGUGCAAGCGUUUGUCCGGAAUUAUUGGGCGUAAAGAGCUCGUAGGCGGUCUGUCGCGUCGGCUGUGAAAACCCGGGGCUCAACCCCGGGCCUGCAGUCGAUACGGGCAGACUAGAGUGUGGUAGGGGAGACUGGAAUUCCUGGUGUAGCGGUGAAAUGCGCAGAUAUCAGGAGGAACACCGGUGGCGAAGGCGGGUCUCUGGGCCAUAACUGACGCUGAGGAGCGAAAGCGUGGGGAGCGAACAGG
rnacentral:rRNA from 1 species